GCUGGCUGCCGGCGCUCCCCUCCGUUUGCACCCACGCCCGCCCUAUUGCGGCUGGCACUACGCUUCUCCCAGGACCCCGGCUCCCUUUUCCGUUGACCUGGUGGUCGUUUUCCGUGUGUUGCUGAGAGGUGGAUGUUAAAAUCAACACCAGGACUACAGUAAGGCUGAAAUCAUUGAAGUGCUUGGAGUGCAGAACUGAAAGAGGAACUGCCAGAUUGAUUUUCACAGCAACUGGACCAUUUUACAUUCCCACUAGCAGGAUGGAGUCUCGCUCUGUCACCCAGCCUGGAGUGCAGUGGCCCGAUCUUGGCUCACUGCAAGCUCCUCCUCCCGGAUUUAGGCCAUUCUCCUGCCUCAGCCUCCCGAAUAGCUGCGACUACAGGCGCCUGCCACAACUCCCGGCUAAUUUUUUGCAUUUUUAGUAGAGAUGGGGUUUCACUGUGUUAGUCAGGAUGGUCUCGAUCUCCUGACCUCGUGAUCCGCCCGUCUCGGCCUCCCACAGUGCUGGCAUUACAGGCAUGAGCCACCACGCCCGGCCGAUUUAUGCCCAUCUUUAUUUCUUUU
rnacentral:sRNA from 1 species